GGUGAGAAUCCCGUACGCGACCGGUGACCAACCCCAUGUGAAACUCCUUCNACNAGUCGAGUUGUUUGGGAAUGCAGCUCAAAAUGGGUGGNAAAUUUCAUCUAAAGCUAAAUACCGGCCAGAGACCGAUAGCGCACAAGUAGAGUGAUCGAAAGAUGAAAAGCACUUUGGAAAGAGAGUCAAACAGUACGUGAAAUUGUUGAAAGGGAAGCGCUUGCAACCAGACUUGUCCGUGGGCGAUCAGCCGCUGUUCGCAGCGGUGCACUCNUCGGCGACCAGGCCAGCAUCGGUUUGGGCGGUUGGAUAAAGGCCGCGAGAAUGUGGCUCCCCUCGGGGAGUGUUAGAGCUCGUGGUGCAAUGCGGCCAGCCUGGACCGAGGACCGCGCUUCGGCUAGGAUGCUGGCGUAAUGGUUGCAAGCGACCCGUCUUGAAACACGGACCAAGGAGUCUAACAUCUAUGCGAGUGUUUGGGUGUCAAACCCAUACGCGUAAUGAAAGUGAACGGAGGUGAGAACCCUGAAGGGCGCAUCAUCGACCGAUCCANAUGUCUUCGGAUGGAUUUGAGUACGAGCAUAGCUGUUGGGACCCGAAAGAUGGUGAACUAUGCCUGAAUAGGGUGAAGCCAGAGGAAACUCUGGUGGAGGCUCGCAGCGGUUCUGACGUGCANAUCGAUCGUCAAAUUUGGGUAUAGGGGCGAAAGACCAAUCGAACUAUCUAGUAGCUGGUUCCUGCCGAAGUUUCCCUCAUGAUAGCAGUAGCG
rnacentral:rRNA from 1 species